CAGUUCGGAUUGUAGGCUGCAACUCGCCUACAUGAAGUCGGAAUCGCUAGUAAUCGCGGAUCAGCAUGCCGCGGUGAAUACGUUCCCGGGCCUUGUACACACCGCCCGUCACACCAUGAGAGUUUGUAACACCCAAAGCCGGUGGGGUAACCUUUUGGAGCCAGCCGUCUAAGGUGGGACAGAUGAUUGGGGUGAAGUCGUAACAAGGUACC
rnacentral:rRNA from 1 species